rnacentral:rRNA from 1 species
GGUUAAGUGACUAAGCGUACACGGUGGAUGCCUUGGCAGUCAGAGGCGAUGAAGGACGUAUUAACUUGCGAUAAGCCCAGAUUAGGUAGUAAAAACCACUUGAGUCUGGGAUUUCCGAAUGGGGAAACCCACUUACAUAAGUAAGUAUCGUUAUGUGAAUACAUAGCAUAACGAGGCGAACCGGGGGAACUGAAACAUCUAAGUACCCCG